rnacentral:rRNA from 1 species
UACGUAGGGUGCAAGCGUUGUCCGGAAUUAUUGGGCGUAAAGAGCGCGUAGGCGGUCCGAUAAGUCGGCUGUGAAAGUCAGGGGCUCAACCCUUGGAAGCCGGCCGAUACUGUCGGACUAGAGUCCGGAAGAGGCGAGUGGAAUUCCCGGUGUAGCGGUGAAAUGCGCAGAUAUCGGGAGGAACACCAAUGGCGAAGGCAGCUCGCUGGGACGGUACUGACGCUGAGGAGCGAAAGCGUGGGGAGCGAACAGG